rnacentral:rRNA from 1 species
UACGUAGGGUGCGAGCGUUAAUCGGAAUUACUGGGCGUAAAGGCGUGACGCAGGCGGUUCGUUAAGUUUCGUUCGUGAAAGCCCCGGGCUCAACCCUGGGAACUGCGAUGGAAACUGGCGGGCUUGAGUGUGGCAGAGGGGGAUGGAAUUCCGCGGUGUAGCAGGUGAAAUGCGUAGAUAUGACGGAGGAACACCGAUGGCGAAGGCAAUCCCCUGGGCCUGCACUGACGCUCAUGCACGAAAGCGUGGGGAGCAAACAGG